UGAAAGAGACUCCAUUAGUGAAGGUUAACCUCUAAAAAAUGCUGGGUUAUUUUUUCAACCCAACCGCUGAGUUGAGACUGCUGGGUAAGGACGCUGGGUUAAUUCAACCCAAUUUUGGGUUGAAGAUCGUUCUUAAUCUUAACCCAGCAGUGCUGGGUUGGGAACGCGGACGUGAAGGAGAGCAUGCACGUAACGUUAACAGCACUGAGGACUCCGGUGCGAGAAGCCGCCAUUUUCUCCGCGUCUUCGGAUGGAAUCGAGUGAAAGACGGUUUAUGUUAAGUAAAGAUAAAUAAUUAAAGAUAUUCUCACUUAUUUCUGUCCAAGAGUAUUUUGAGAUGUAUUUGAAGGCGAAAAAAGUCAGAAAAGAACUUUUUGCCUUCGUCUCAUGUCUCAACGGCCUCUUUUAUUGAAUCAAAGAGACAUUUUUAAAUAUAGUGGGUUUCUUGUGUCAUAUUUACAAGUUUAUUGAAGUUUGUUAAUGGAAGGUUAUCAACAGAUUCACAUUUUAAUUUAUUUAUUUUAUUUUUUUUUUAUCUUCGCGGUUAACCCGAAUGUAAUGACCUAGUUUUCCUUAAGGAAAUGAAACUGCGAUAUGUAAUAAAGGUUGGUUUAUUUUGAUGGUGUUGAAGCGGCAAUUGUUAAAAUGAAUAUUUUGCAUGUAAUAUUUCAGACUUGUUGCGCUUUGUGUGUUAAUUUGGCCCGCGCCGGGAGUAAACGACAGGCGACUGCUGUGCGAGGAUGCGCGAUUUUCUCAGCUACAGAAGAAGAGAGGGAAAGACGAUUUAUGAACUCAAACCAUCUGUGGAGAGGAGCCCUUCUCCUUGGUCUUCCUUUCUUAAAGGAAUAGUGCACACAAAAAUAAAAAUUGUCACCAUUUACCCAACCUCAUGUCUUUCCAAACCCAUAAGACUUUUGUCCAUCUAUGGAACACAGAUUAAGAUAUUUUUAAUAUUCUCAUCUUUUUUAUUUAUUUAUUUUUAUCCAUUUACAGUCUAGAUAAUCAGUAUUUUUAAGCUUCACAAAUGCAAAGUUAUUGUAGUAAUCCAUACCAAUAUUUAUAUGUGAAUAAAAUUCUAAAUUAUAUCUGUUUAUAUCAUAAAAAGCAAUCAUGUCUGUUCAGAAAAUUAAAAAAUGUUGGACUCCCAGACUUGCAAUGGAUGGACAAAAAAUUGAGAGAAUAUUAAAAAUAUCUUCAUUUGUGUUUCAAAGAUUAGCAAAAGUCUUAUGGUUUUGGAAUGACAUGAGGGAGAGUAAAUUAUGACAGUUUUCUUUUUUGGGUGAACUAAUACUUUAAAGAGCAGCCCUCCAAGUUCAUCAGAAUGUGUGAGGCCUCACUGAGCCAAAGGAUUUCAACUAAAAUAUCUUAAUUUGUGUUCGGAAGAUUAACGAAGGUCUCACGGGUGUGAAACGGCACGAGCGUGAGUAAUAAAUGACAUUAUUUUCAUUUUUGGGUGAACUAACCCUUUAAGUGUUUGAAGUGAUAAAAUAGACUAUUGACCUACCCUUACUGAUGUGGAUGCACCUGUCUGAAAAUUAUUCAGUUUUAACCAUCAAAUGUUUUAGGAAUUUGUUUGGUGUUCCUUAGUAAUUUUCUUUUUCCUCUUUUUAACCCAAUGAUGAACAGGUGGUGACAGGGAUGAAUACUGGUCAAAAAGGAGAAUGACCUUCCCCAAUGAAGAUCACUGAUGUGACCGUGCUUUUAAAGGAGAAGAUUGUUCUGGACAAUUUAAAGGAUGUUGCAUGCCUUUGCUGUGCUGAUGGAGCUUCUUCAUGACUGGACAUCAGUUAUCCUAAGGAGGUCAUGAAAAUUGGCAGUGAUGCAUGUUCUGUAUGUACUCAUUGACUCAAUGAACUUUUAGCAUAUAAUCUGACAAAUGUUCAAUGCUUGUUCAUUGUUGUUUAGUGGAGGAAUUCACACUCUCAUUCAAACUCACAUUCUUUCACAUGUAUACUAGCCUCAGAGAAUUCUAUAACUAACAAAUGUUAUAAUGUCAGUGUUAAUGUUGUGGUUUAUUUGUGUUCAGUCAUGUUUGUAAAACAAACAAACAAAAAAACUUUAGUCAUGUUAAAUUGUGUUAGUUAUUAAAACUCUUAGUUUUAUUUAACUCUUAGUUUAAUAUAGCUCCAUAUUUUAGGCAACAAUAGAGAUUUUAGAUAAUUAUUACCGAGUAGUUUUGUAAACAACUUAAGGUUAUGGAUUUAUAGUUAUGUUUGAAAUUGAGUGAACUUUGGAAGUUAACUUGUUACCUUUAUUUGUAUUAAAUAAUGCAAUAAUUUAUUCAACAUUAAUAUUAUAAAGCGACGAGAAUAUUUUUGGUGCGCCAAAAAAAACAAAAUAAUGACUUAUUUAGUGAUGGCCGAUUUCAAAACUGCUUCAGGAAGAUUCGGAGCAUAAUGAAUCAGCGUGUCGAAUCAUGAUUCGGAUCGCGUGUCAAACCGCCAAACUUCUGAAAUCACGUGACUUUGGCGCUAUAAUAAUUUAUUCAAGCAAUUACAGUUGAAACCAGUAAAUAAUUUUAUAGUGUAGUGUUUUCAUUGGCAAUGGAUAAUAUGCAAAAAAAGUCUUAUUUUGUUUUAAAUGCCAGUUAUAUUCAUCAAUGUUCACUGAAAUGUGAAACAAUUUAAUUUAUCUGUAUAAACUGUGUGGCUGUUGACUUGCAAUUCUUUUCUGAUUUUCAUCUCACAUGCAUGUUGUUACUUUUGACCAUGUUUGUCCUUGUCCUUGUUUUUAAUACAUUUUUACCU